GGUAUACACAUGUAAACGUACGCACACACGGUGCCUUCGAUUAGUCCGCGCGGGAAACCAGGACGUCCCGGCGAGAACGGGGGAAAUUAAUUGCGAAACUUGUAGCGAGUUCUUCAAAGGUUAACGGAGUAAGAAAUGGGACGAGGCGGGCGGGCGCGAAGGUAGAGAGUGUUUCGCGACUUUUCUCGGUGAAAAAGUCGAGAGACUGAGCUUUACGAGUUCCUCCCGAGCGAGAGUUUUUAGACGUAAAAAAAAAAGCCGGCAGCUGUGUUUAACUAACGGAAGUGAGUUAAGAUUGCAAAGGUGAUUAUGCAGCAGAAGGUGAAAAAAGGUUUUAGAAUCAUCAGCUGCUCCGAAAAAUAAUUAGUUACAUCCGGAAAGUUUUGAUAGUGAAACAUGUUGACUGUUACGUCGAGUAUUAAAUAAUCCUGAAAUUUGCGAAUUAGUUUCUUCUGAGAAAGUAAAGUUUCGCUAAAUGUGAGUACAGCACUGAAACGUAACUUCGUAUGCGAGACGCAUCUUUCUUCCAUUCAAGUGAACUUUACAGACACGGUAUAAGUCAUUUUGUUAAUCUUUUUAUUUUGAAACUUUUUCAUGCCUGACACAUUUAAAAAAGAUUCCAACUAUUCAGUCGCUCAAUUUUCUUUUUUUAAGAAAAACAUUAGGCGUACAAGAUUUAGAAAAGUAUUGACUUUAUAAAAUUAACUUUUGUUAGACGGAAAUUGUGUAUCUUUAUUAUUUUACGCCGUCAUAUCGCUUUAUUAUUCGAAUGUCACAGGACAACUGUCUCGUUAACACAAAGACAGGAUUCGGCGUUGGCACCGAAAUCGUCGCGAAGCGACAUUGAAUAUACAAUUCUGCGGGCGGGCAUGAAAAUCGAGAGGAACGACGUGGAUAUAAUAAUAGUAGCGAAAUUUCGAGUCCGGCCCCGGUAACAAAGGAAACCGGGGUCGGGUAAUACCGAACGCGAAACAACCGAGGAACAAUACGAUCUCUCGCAGACGGGCAAAAUGCGUACAAUUAUCGUGAAAUAUAUACGCAAAUUAAUCCUACCCACGCGAGGCAGGUCCCGAUGAAACUCGAACCGAAUAGAGUAACGAGAAGGCGGUGCCGGCGAGAUAUGGGAGAUAACGGGUGUUCGAAAGCGAAGGCGCCCGAACAAUCAGAUUCCGAAUCGCUCGACACAGCGAUUCCGAUUUGAUUGACUACGGUUUAUGGAGUUAAAUGAGCUAAGCUUGCCAAUUCAAUUACGACAGAUAUGCUCGAAAUUUAUCGAUUUCCACCCAGAUGUCUUCUUAGUGUCAGAUGCAGCAUUCAAGAUAUGGUUACGCACCAUUUUUCCACGCACACACCGAACGAGGGACUCAUGAUGGGCACAAAUUUUUCCGAUGGAAAACGCGACGCCGAAUCACGGAACUUCCGAAUAUUCUUGGAGAGGACACACGGGCACACUUGGUCGCGGACACCGGCGAUGCGGCACUGAACAGCCGCAAAUGGAGCGUGACAGACGGAAAACCGGAAGUGAUCCAAUGGGAGGAGAGACAUUCCCGUGGAGCCUGCCACCUCUCGGCGCGGUGCAUGACGUCAGGUUUAGAGCGGGCGUGAAUGCAUCGAGUGAUCUCAUGGCGACAAGGCUGUGAUAAGCGCCCGAUGCACCCGACAUCGCCGUGAUAAAUGGCAGGCGAGAGCUGACGGGUUUUACGAAACCGGAGACCACACGGCAAAUAAAUUUGAUUUUGCUUUUAUACGUUAUAAGUUAAAAAUCCUUAUUAUGAUUAGAGAGAAAGAAAAAUCAAGAUAAAGGCAAGUCUAUGCGCUGGAAGUUGCGCUUUAAAAUUAAAGCGAUAACAAGCGUACUCAAUAUUUCAUUUAAAAAGAGAUGUUCUUAAGAUAAUUUUACACUUUUAAUUUCUAUAAUUAUCGCAUGUAAAACCACUACGCUGUAAUUAAAAGUAAUUUGAUAAGGUUUUAAUUUUUAUUAGCAAUUGUACGAGCGAUUAAGAAACCUCAAUAAAAUUUUCUUCCAUAAGACAAUACCUUGGACUAAUAAAAGACCUACAUUCCGAAGGCGCACAACAAUGCACGAGAGAUACAUGCCUGCGUGUACGGAUACACGUUUUCUUCGCGCAUCAUCGCCGAGUCGAGCGUGACGCAUCAGAGACGAGAUACGCACAACGAAAACAUCUCGCCUGUUAAUCCGAUCGCCCACGCACGAAUUCCCGUCGUACAGGUACACGAAAUUACAUUAUAGGCGUCUCGUGCAACGCGAGAUUAUGUCGCGAGACAUUCCCGCAAACUUCUGCGUCCCUGAAAUUCCGGAUCGGAAUUCGCAGCAUCGCGCAGCGGCGUAGAGACAAGGGGAAACGAUAACGCACGCGUCCAAUCCCUCGCGAAAUCGAACGACUACAAAUAAUAAGCGAUCAGCAACAAAUCGAAAAACCUGUAUGUCUUUCUAGCAAUUAAAUCGAGAAAGACUUUACUACCGAAAUUGACCGAGCAACAGAUUCUGUAUAUUCUUCGUUCUUGUCCCAAUACUUAUACUUUUUAUUAAUUUUUUGGAAGAUUAAAGACGAGGAGCAAUUAUGACAAAAGUAGAGCAAUUAAUUGAUCAGAAAUUAAAGAAAUCCUUAAUUAAUUUUGUUUCGUGUGCUAAAUUUAGAUUUAAGUCAGCACUUGCAAAGAAUAAAAAUAGCGAUGACGAAUUGAAACUUGUAUUCUUAUAAUGUUAAAAGUGGCGUAAAUAAUUAAGUUCUUAACAAUAUAUAUUUUAUGUAUAAAAUAAUGUUAUAAAUAAUAAUAGAGCUUACCGCAAAAGUGACGUACUACCAAAAUUGGAUUUCCUCUUUAAGCGUUCAUAAGUUAAUAACAAGUUAAUGAUAUAAAACUUAACAACUUAAUAAUUUAUGAAACCAUUAACGCUUUAAAAUGGAAAAGUCAAACUUUAACAGUUAGAAGAUUACUUUUGCGAUAAGUACCUCAAAUUAAAUAUCAUUUUCUAUGAUAGAUUUCUUUUUAUAUUCAUUAGAAUGAUCUACUUUAUUGCAAGUGUUACACGUGCGCAUAUUGACUGCAUAGACCGUAACAAAAAAUUACCCGUAAAUUCUCGUCCAGAACGAGUCCAAUCCUCCCGCUUUUCAGAUUCCACUGUGAAUUAUGGAGAAUGAUUGCAGCCAGGACGCGUCGCGCGAAAUCGAAGCUGCAUAAUUUUCUGGUUCACGGACCGGGCGAUCGAUCUGACGAAUUGCAUCAAGUGUAUCACGAAUGCACAUGGAUAACGCCUGUGUCCCCGUGACGUAACGGCGUGAAAGAUACAAAGUGAGGACGUGCCAGUCGCUAACGCGUAUCUGUGAGCUACGUUGAAAGAGAUUUUCGCGUUUCAAACAAAAAUUAAUACCGAAAGCUGGUGUUAAAAUUGAGAAGUUCCGAAAGACAUAAUUAUAUACCGUUUCCCGUCAAGUGCGAUUUAAUACUUGUUAAUAUCCGCUAAAUACAUGUUUUCCGACAUAAUAUAAUCGCCAUGAAAUCCGGAACUUUCCAUCAUCAAUAUUAAAUACCGCUUCAAUUCCGACAUGAUAACAAAUAUCGAAUUGGUUAGCAUCGUCGUCGCGGCAAGCGCAAAUAUUAGCAAUACAUUUCCCGCUUGUCAAUAUAUCGUAAUAUUUGCGCGUAUUGCAAUAUCGAAAUGGAAAUGCAUCUAUGUAUACGCAUGACAAUUAAUGUUCGUAGAUUUUUCGUUUACCUGCGACGCAUGACAAUUAAUGUUCGUAGAUUUUUCGUUUACGCGUUAUGUUACAUGGUUUAUUUUACAAAAUAGUUUAUAUAAAAUCAUAUUGACGAUGUAAUCUCAUAUAUACUGGAAAGAUAGGAAAAAAAAGAGAAACUGAGAAUUAAAAGCAUCAAGUAAAGGAUUAAAAGUUAAAAACAAUUCUUCAGAAAUUAAAUAGUCCAUGAGAAAAACAAACGUUGAAAAAAAAUUAAAUCUCAUAAUUUUCAUAGUAGCUGCAACCGAGAGAUGAUACUGAAAGUGUUCCCGUUUCAAUUAAUCCGGCAUACCUAUCGGGUGCGUGGAACGCACGAAAUAAAUUCACGUAUACCAACACAAGUACUAAUUACUAUCGUCGGUAAAGACCGGGUUGAAGAUGCGCCCAGGUUAAAACUCACCCUUCGGUAUUCGCACGCGAUUCGCACAAAAUACCAAGCCAAAUUCGCGAGGAGGGUGCGCGCAGACAAUUGCACUAUUACCGGGCGGGAUGAAUCACGACCGGCUAGGAAUACCGCGAUACCGGUACUGGCAACGUUCCGAUAAGACAGAGAAGAGACGCGGGGGAGGUGCGGGGAGGUGGCUAAAGGGUGCAUCGACCAGAGACGACAGACGAACGGGAGCCACGGUGGCUACCUACCCUCGUUACCGUUCACCCUCUCGCCUGCUCGAAACUAGAACAGCCUUCCUUUUCCCGCCUUACCGGAAUACCCGCUACGAAACGUACGGCCGGCCGGCACGAGAUAUCGUUCCACCGGCUCACCGUGGCCAUUCAUAAAGCGAUCUUAAACACCUAGCGGUCUUAAUCACCCCGCGAAACGGACCGUGAAUCAUGGGGCCGUGAGUCUCUUAGUGCCCGAGUACCUACUGUUAAAAAUUUCACGACUCGCAGGAUUCGAAAAACUACGGAGCGCGGUUAAUCCGCCGCGGUCAGCUGAAUUAACCGCAACCCCCGAUGUCCUCUGUGCGCUACCAAAAGAUUGUGAAAAGAGAAUUUAAAGUUUUAGACAAUAUAUUUGAACUGAUACAAUUCACUUGAAACUUCUUUCGAUAUAGUAUUGUUGCUUUUUUUAAAUAUUAAAAUAUUAAAUUACGACGUAAUAAAAUGUCAAGCGUAAGUUAUAGCUGUGAAGAAUAUGCUUCUCCUAAAAAGUUGCGCUUAAUCUUCAUGACGCUAUUUAUCAUCUAAUGAUGUGCGUGACGCGUGUAAGUGCAAUUAAUAUUGAAGAUGUAGAUAUAAAAUCAAAAAACAUUUGUCGUUUAUUUGUCACGUAAAUUAAUCACAUUAAAAAAUUUUCAAACUUAUCUUCGAUUUAUUAUCAAAAAUAAAAACUAAUAAGUUCAAUAUUUAUAAAUGCAAACAUUUAUAAGCGCAUUCGUACGCGGAGAGUCGGUGCAUUUCGCGCAAACGUUUUCGAGCGAUUUCUGCUGCAACACUCGUACGAUUAACAUCGAGACACAUCGCGCACACGAAGGAACAUGAGCUUAACUGUAAGGAGUCCUCGAGCACGUACACGCGAAUCCUAGUGGAUCGUUUCCACCCUCGGCGUCUGGGUAAACAUCGUCGCCUCGUCGUUACCGGCUGCAAUCUCGGUCUCGCGAAAAUCUUGGAGCGGGACUCGAUAUCACCUGGUUGUGGAAAAUCGCGCAACCGCGCAGGAAGGCUUAUAAACGGUAAACCUAAGCCAGAUCGUGGCGAUAUCGCCCUUCGAGCCCUACAAUACCCAGCACGCGUUUCACGAUAGAUUCCAUUUGGAUCGUCCUGUCGCACGAUAGCGCGGAAGAGACGGGCGCGAUGAUAAUCAAAGUGAAAUUGUCGAGAAUGGGAUUUGGUGCAAAAGGGGCUUUGGUAGAAGAGAAAUAUUCGAUGAUCGACAAACAAUUAAUUAAACCGACAGAAAUUUCAUUUAAUGCGCAUUUUAUUUCACGUGAUGAUUUUUAAUCAGCUCGCUUUGCGCGAUUGGAAGUUUUGCUAUGGGUAUGCAGAGAUUGCAGAAACAAAAAUUCGAUAACAAUCAGAUCAAUUUGAUUCGGUAUUUAUUUUAAUAUUAAGAAAUUAUUUAAUGAAAAACCUGUAUCAGUUAUAUAAUUUUUAAAGAAUGCCGCAAAAAUUACGAUUCAACGAUUAUAUUAUACAAAGCUGAAUACUCAUAAUUUUCAAUCUUGCUUUUCUUCCUUGCUAAUAAUUUGAGCAUUGCGUAACAAUAUACCAUUAAUUCUCAAGUGAAUACAGAAUGCGACAUGCACAGUUUGUAAUAAUGUUUAUAAAUCGUAUUCACUCAUUGUUUUUGGUGUAUUAAUGAAAAUUAUAUUCAUUGCACCCAUCAAAUUGCACAUUAACUAUAUUAUGUAUUGUAACGUGAUUAAUUAUUCAAAGAAAUAUCGCUGCACGUCCAUUUUUCCAAUUAUUUGUCAUAUCUUAAAAUUUUAAUUGCGAUUUUACCGCUCUCUUUCGGAAUAAUUCACUACGUCCUCGCGUUCGUGAAUUAUUGUUGAAGCAGAAAUCAUAACAUGUUAAUUUAACGAGAAAUAAUUUCUCUAACAUUUUCAUAUAUGCGUUAAUUGACCAUGUUUUAUGUGACUUCAAUCUCGUAACAAAAUUUCUUUAAUAACAGAUAUAAUGCUUAGUGAUAAUGAGACUGUAAUUUAGAGUUGCAAUAAAAUAUUUAUAAAUUACAUUAGAAAAAUAAUAUAAUUUCGUCCAAAAUUAUAAUUCAUCAGAUUAUAAUUCCGCACAAAUAAUAAUGAGAGAGAGAGAAAGAGAGAGAGAGAGAGAGCGAGCGGAGAGGUAAGAAUAUUCGACAUCACUCAAGAAAGUGGACGGGACGUGCCGUCGGAAAUCUCAAGCGAAUUUUUCACCCUGGGGCUUCCCUCGCUCUACCCCGUUGAUUACAUUAGGGGCGGGAAAGGCCUUCCCCCUCGACUUGCAGCGAACCGACGGGAUCUUCCAAAUCGAAGUCGGCUCUCCGCCGACAAGAAUCUCGUCAUUAAGAUUUUUGAUUUGAAUGCAAAUGGCUACUUGUCCCCCUGCCUCGCGCGGGGGAAAUCUCGCCCAUCCUUUGGCGGAUAUCUCGGGAGGAAAAUGGACCGGGGCUCUGGUGUCUCGGCAGAGAGUUACGGAAUGCACUCGAAAUUGAUGUUUCACAAGACAUACGCGCGCACCAUCACUCGACACCCCGCUCUCGUUCUCCAUGUGAGAUAUAUUUGUUUUAUUUAGCGUACUUUACAAGCGCGAUCGCGCAAAUUGACCUCAUUUACCUCUCGUGCCUUACCGAAGGCGUUCCUUAAACCGAAAAGGGAUCUCGUAAUAUUUCUCCUUUCUCUUCCGAACGGCGCGACAGCGCUAUCGACCUGCCGCAAUCUGUAGCCCUAUCGAUUUUUUAUUAUCCCGCCUGGAAAGUCUUUUGCCGCUGUUGAAACACACGCUUUUCGUCGCCCUUUGUUUUCUGCUUCCUCACGUUUAUAUUUUUCGUAAAGAGAUAUCUUCCACCGCGUGUCACCGGCAUUCGUAAUGCCAAUGAUUUUUUUUUUUUAACGCUCGAACGACAGCCGGCAACUUUCGCAAUUGGUAUAAUCUCUCACGGUGGACGUUUCACAUCAACUGUCUCGCUUCUACGAUCACGCCGGACAACGGGCGUCGUUAAACUUUCAACCACCCAUGGAUGGCCGUUGUGUACGAAGGUCCUAAGUUAAAAUGAAGCUCGUCGUGUGUGCAUCGCGUCGCGACCCAGGUAAGGCGAGACGUAAUUUACUGGUUUCUGCUUGUUACACCGACCGCACGUCGACGUGUCGCCGGCGUUUGCUCGUAAAGCCGACAAACUCGACGUAAUUUUAUCCCGUCUCUAGAUACGCCGGUACACGUAGGAUACAGCUCCGUUACCCCCUCGGCCGUCCGCACUCCUUUACCCUUCGGCGAAAUGAGAUUUCGCUCGGCGCGGACGACGCAGGACACGCAACGGCCGCGCUUUGCGGUAUCGGGAUAGAACAGUUUAUGUAAUCUGACACGGUGAUCUUGUCCUGCUCCUCUCGUGGUUAACCCUUAUCCGCACAGGAGACGACCCCGUCAAAGACCAAGUCUCGAAAAUGUUUAUUUUCAAACAAAAUACGAAGAAAAAGGAAACCACUGCAUCUAUCUCUUCCCGAAAGGUCGAAGGAAAAGAUUGUCUCUAAUUCAACGACACCUCCUUGAUAUUUAUCGAUAAACGAUAAGUAUUAAAUAAUACUCAUUUAUUCCGUAUAGAUAUCGCAGCUAAAAACUUUAUGAGAUAACCGACUAAUCAGAAGCCGAUAGACAAAUCAUGUUAAAACUGUAAUAUUGAUGGAUCGGUAAAAAAAAACAACCCUACAAAUUAUGCUAUUAUUAGAAGAGUUGAGGCAAACAUUUUGUAAUUACAACGCGUAAUUAAUAUCCUUCUCAAAUAAAACAAUAACUACUUUGUGAAAAUAUCAAAGCAUAGGAACAUGAGAGAGACAAUACAGGAAGGUCACAGCCGAUCUCGCAGUUACGGGAGAAAAUCGAUACACCGUCCACACGCACGAUCACCCAGCUAAAAAUAUCAAAUUUUGCACGGCAAAAAAUGUGGAAUUAAUAUAGACAAUAUGUGUCGGCCAUGCAUAUACGGGCAUCAGCGAAUCGCAGGCUACGCGUAAAUGGCUUUUGAUACACCACAAUAGCCCGGCAAUCGGAUUUGCGAGUGAGUCGAGAGGUUAUCCUCCGAAAGUAGAAUUUACAUGAGAAUUUACAUGGUUUGCUAGAGACAGUUGCAAAAAGAGAAAAGCAAGAGAAGGGGGGGGGAGAGAAGCAAUUGUGCGAAGGUGGUAGCUGGUGCCCAAUAUAAAUUCAAAUGUAUUUGACGCAUCAUCGAACAACGCUUCUAUAAAGCUUCGCCAUCCCAUCCCGUGAAAAUUUCUGUUUCCACGUAAAUUUCAUUUUUCUCAACGAAACAGUGCUUUAUUGCCCCCAGGAAAAAUAUCGGUCGUAAUAUCUGGCGCGUCAAUAACGGAAAUGUGUACAUGAUCUUACUCAUUUCGACCAUAAUUUACGUCAUGCAGUACUAAAAAAUGCUUAUACAAAUGUUGAACAUUACUUCAAUAAAAAAAAAAUCAUCAGUUGCUCUUUUUCUAUACUUUAAUAAUUCAUAAUAUUUUUCAGUGUGUCGUAUAUUAUAUUAUAUAAAAAUUAUAUAAAAUAUUUGUCUCUACUCUUGUUUAUAAUUUGCAAGUUUUUGCUAUGCAUUGUUUACACGCGAAUCGAUCAAUGAUGUAGUCUGUCUUGAUCUUUCCGUUGCAGGGGGUUCGUAUAUCGUGUCGGAAAUGCGAAUGCAAGCUCAGGUGAGGAGGUCUGAAGCGAGUGAACUCAGUCAGGGGACAAGGCAGCAGGUUGAUUGAUCGCGUGUCAGGUUCCAGCCAACCUGGCGCCAGUCCAGUGGUGCGCAACCUGCUGCCACGUGGCAGGGAGAUUGGCGAGGUUCGGACAACUCUCGCGGGUGCAAAGCAUGGGAGUACUAUUAACGGAGACGGAAGUCGUGUCGCCUUUUUUUUUAUCGAGUUAAAAACUAUGGACGACGGCGCGGUAACGCCACACACAAUGACGACAAUGUGUAACAAAGUAUUCCUGCCUUUUAUUACGCAGCUGCGUGCAGUUUAUUGUGAACGUGUGUUACGUGGGAAAUAAGCCAUGAAUAAAAAAUGAUGUAAAAAAAAGUAAAUAGGGAUAACACGCUAUAAAAAAAGCUAUGAGGUAACUGAUAAAUUACGUCCUCCUUUACAAUGCAGAAGGCGCCUUUGGAAACGCGAUAAACGAUUUAUUUAAAUUUAAGGAUAGGUACAAGAUCGUUAGCAUGUGGCAUAUUGUAAAAAGAAAUAAGAUGACCAAUGGAAAUGAUCGCGGCAAUAAAAAAAUCUCUUUAAUUUUUGAAGAAAUAACUUCCAAGUUCUUAUUAGAGUAUAAAUAAAAUUUUCAAAAUGACUAUUCUCUCAAACGUGCCGCAGUCAUAUAACUCUGUACUAUAGGAGAUGGAAAAGAAAAGGCUUUUCACCAUCUUCUCUCAAAAACUACAAUAUAAAUAAAAAAUUAUGCAACGAAAUAAUUUCAUAUCCUACCUAAGUCAUACAUGUGCCAUACAUUGUUACGCUUCCAAAGGGCAAAAUAUAAUCACGUGAACUAUGGAGAAUUAUCAUCUUCGUUAUAAACAGGACGACAACGACGACGACGGCGAACAGUGUACUUGCGCCCACGUGGAGGAGAGUUACACUCUCCGGCAAUUAGAAUAUAAUUACGAUGAAACGGCGCAGUCAUGGGUGGCGAUAGACACCGGGGGUAUCGGUUACCCUCUGUCACACACGAGAGUGCAAUGAAUAAAAAAAAUAACUUUGAAACUCGGUCAGGGUAAACAGCAACGAAGCGCCGUGCGCGGGCGCGCGGCGAACCGUUUUAAUUCGCGACGGAAAAUACACGUUUCCAGCACAGCACCGGCCGAUCGAUAGGGAGUUACUUGGCGCACGUUCGACCGGAGUAGAUUCGCGUGUGCGCGAAUUAAAUUCGCAUGGAUUUCAAGGAGAACAGCGGAGAGCGGCGGAUUUGAACCCCUCCCCCCCCCCUACAGAGGAAGGGCCCAUCACCCCGUGGAAACGAAUCACGGCCCUGUGCGCCUCCAACCCCCGCAACCUGUCAGUCACUUUAUCCAUCCCCCUGGCCCUACGCCGCACCACCGGGUCCCUUUAUUUGAUCGACGAGUGACGUUAUCGCGGGUAAUAUCGGCGAGAGAGAGAGAGAGAGAGAAAGAGAGAGAGAGAGAGAGAGAGAGAGAGAGAGAGAGAGAGAGACGAGACUCUCUGGUACUUCCAAGCGAUCCGGCUCGCUCCAUCAAACAUUCAUGCUGUCGGUCGCAAGCUCGCGCAGUCGACCGACCGCCGCCGCCGACCACACCGUGAAAACGCAUCCGAUAAAAUGCAGCGCCCGGCCUGACACCUUUUGUGUGCUCGUGCCGUCGUAACGGGCUCGCCCACCAUCGCCGUUCACAUAUAUACACCCCCGAGAUUAAACCUUCGUUUCCGCCGCGUCGCGUUUCCUUUGACCCUCCCACGAAUUCAAUCGCAAUUGAUCUCGCACUCUCUCUUCUUCUCUCUUCCUCUUCUUCAUCCCUCUCUAUCUCUCUCUCUCUGCGUCUCCCUGUAAACACAUGGUAUUUUUAAUGUUUUAUUUUCAGACGGUAGGCUCACCAGCAUCUUGCAAAUGCUACGUGUAUGCCUGAUCGUAAUGAGCGCAAUUAUCGUAUCGCAUUAGGGAGGGGAAAAAAAUCCUGAGAUAUGAGAGUCCGAACAAGCCUUCACGCGCGAGUUGUUCUUGCGUCGGCCGAAAAUCACGGUGUGUCCACCCCGGGGACGCCUUUCGGCCAUGUGCGUCAUGUUAGGGCAAGGAUCGAUUUUCGCGGCUGCCGCGAUUAUGCGCUCCGUGUUUUUGCAACGAUAGCCGAUAAUAGACCACGGGCGUAAGCGACGACGCGGACGACUGCUUCGUUAAUUGAGCGAUCUCGAUCCGUUCAGGUGCGCCGUCGCGUUUAUUCUCGGGCUUAGAGAUUUUAAUGGACGGAACGGUGCUCUCCCGGUAAUACGACGGGGAAUAAGGGGAAGGAGUGAAUUAUUCGGCUGCGCGGCGACGAGAAUCGCAAAUUUGAAAUCUAAUAAAAGCGAAUAAUGGGUACGCCAUUAAGCUCUAAAUCGCAUCAAACGAAUUACACGGGGCUGUCUUUGUGCGAGCUAUUUAUUUCGAAAGUGACGUGAAUGAAAUUUUAAAGCCUUUGUUAGGAUAAUAGGUAUCAAUUGAUAUCUGCAUUCAGAAUACCGGGAGAGCAACUAUUUAGCCUCGCAAAUUCGAGUGGCUAACAAAUACAGUAGUAAACUUCGAUAUUAGCUCCGUCGUGGGUUUAUAUGUGUUAAUUAAAUCGCGACAUAAAUGCCGGGAGCUUAAUGACGUGGAAGUCGUGUUUAAUGCGGAAUGUUGGAAACUUGCCACCUUGCGCAACAAUCGAGGUAACCCCGGCGGAGAUCACAGGUGAAAAGCACAGGGAGGGAGAGGAAAGGACAGAAAGUAUGUGUGUUUGUGUAUGUGUAUGUGUAAGCGAGAGAGAGAGAGAGAGAGAGAGAGAGAGAAGAGUAUGUAGAGAGAGUUUGGACAUAAGGAGAGAAGAACGGACUCUAGAGCACUUCGUCACACUCCGGAGAAGACAGAGAGGACACGGCGGCUUGUUCUAGUUUACGAUUCUGAAAACGAGAACGUGGAGGGAACUCAGGUACCCGUAUGUCCCACGUGGCUAAGAGGCUCCCCCGAAAUUGUUGGAGAAUUCGGGCGAGUCCGCCGCCAAGAUGACUCCCGGAGGGGCUCCGAUGAAAGAUACUCUUUACUCGACUCUCGUCAUCCACCAUUCUGAUGCUCGCAUCAUAAAUUUGGACUUUCGUUAAAAUUAUUGUGUUAAGAAUAGAGAUCAUGUCAUUAUUUCCACUACCGGGGUUGCAUAUCGUUCACAGCGUACAGAAACAGAGAAUACAUUAAAGAUCUUUAUAGUAAAAGAAAUUUUAUAACGUAGUAGAAAGUCAGUUUUCUAUAAAUUAAAAUUAAAGUUUUCCACAAACUGAAAUUUAAUAAAAUAAAAUAAUUUAAAAAUUGAAUAAUGAAUUAUUUGUGAUUUUUCUCCCUCCCUUCCUCCUUCUCUCUCACACAUACACACACACACACACACACACACACACACACGCACGCACGCACGCGCGUGCGCACGCACACACUCGCUUGUUAUUGAGAAGCCAUUGGGACGGAUAAUUCAGAGUUGAAUUUAUUAAUUAUGUAACCAAUCGAUCUGGACUUGUGAUUAUAUUAAUUGUAUGCGGUCUAUCCAAUUCAUUACAUAUUAAUGCAUCGACUGGCUCAUUAGAGCUGUGGCUAACAUAACCGGAAAAGUUGGACAUAACGGAUUAAUAUAUAUAUAAAUGCGACAGCGAUUGUUCAUGCUCGCAGAGCAUAUUAAGCGCCAAAUAUGGACUUGUAAUUUUCAACAUUAAGUGCUAAAUGUAGCAUGUCAAUUUCAGAUUAAAACAGAUAAAUAUUUUUGCACAAAACGCAAGAUAUAUAAAUGUCUCUUAUUUUACGAUAUUUCAAGUACGUUUUAUUGCCCAUUUCCUACCUUAUUCUAUUUCAUCUAUUUUUGUAUUUGUGUAUGUUUUCAUUCAUGCCACGAUAAUUAGACUAAAUAGUCAAGUGAAAAGGUAAUUUUGCAGAAAUGACCGCGAUGACGCUUACUCCCGCAUAAAAGCAGACUGCAAUAAUCACGCCCGCCUGCAAAUCCGUCGCGGACAGUUUUAUAAUCCACCGGUUUUACACCGUCCUUUUAUUAAUACGGCGGGGCAGUAAACGGGGUUAAUCCGCAGUGCACGACAACGUGAGAGCACCGAAUUCGCCGACUGUAUUGUUCGCGAAAUUUAAAAAAAGCUUUCCUACAAAAAAAAAGUACUACGAUUCUUUUACAUACUUUAUUUUAUCAGCUAAAAUAUGCUAAAGCGUUAUUUUUUUCUUUAUUCUGGAAGAUCUAUGUGCGAUUCCUUUUAGAACUGCUGCAGAAACUUUUUAAAGAGUCAUACAUGAUAUAAGAUGACGUACAGUUUUACACGUCUAUUUUACUUUUUGCUUCGGAUGAUUUAAUUUCAAGCAAUUAAUUUUAAAGAUAUUUACAUUUUUAGACGCGGUAAAAUAUAGUAUGUAAUUGAAGCUUGGAAUGUUCUACGAAAAAAAAAUUAAAAUUGGUUUCAAUAAAAAAUUAUUUUUAAAAAAAUUCAUAAUCUGUGAUUUCUGACGAUAACAAAAAAAUUUUCAAAGAAGCGUCCGUUUAGAUCAAAUUAUAUGUGCGCAAAGUGCACUUAAAUAUAUCAGGUGAAACAUUUUCAACUGUUUCUGUGUUUCGUGAAAAUAUACAAGUCAAAAUAUACAAGUUCGAGACCAAUUUCCAAAUCCAAUGUUAGAAAAAAAAAUUUAUUAUCAAUCGAGUAGACUUUUUUUAAUUAUUUAAUUACACUUUUUGUAAAUAAAUUUUUAAUUGUCUAAUUAUAAAUGCAAGAGGCAACUGCGUACAUUCUAAAAGAUCGAUAAUCGUAGAACAAAGACUUGAAUGCUCUAAUAGAAUUUUGAAUCAAGCUUCUUUAUAUUUUAUAGUACGAGGAGUUUGACGAUUUUGUAAAAAUAGUAAAUUGGAAGUUCAAGAGGAAAAAGAGUUGAGACAAAGAGUCUGGCUUCUGCUUUGAUGUCUUAAUGCGGGUAGCAAACUCGCGCGACUUUCCAAAAAUUCAUUGAGCGGUAUCGCGAAUUCUUUCUCGCAGAAAUUACGUGAAGCACGAAAUGGUUUUUCCAAUAACUCCGCGCGAAGAGAAGCAUGAAUAGAAAGCUUGCGAUCGUAGAUAUUAUCUUCGUACUAACUUUAAUUAUCGAAAAUUUCCUUGCCUUUGAUGUCUUCUCUCGUGUUACCGAUCAAUUAUACCAACCAUAAAUAUUACUUCCGCACUCAACAUUAAGAUACGUAAGAGAGACUGUAGAAUCACACACAACGUUUAUUUUUGUUUGGUCAUUUGUAUUUUCAAGAAAAUUUUGAAUUAAUCGUCUUACGUUUUUCGAAAAUAUUUGAAAUAAGCUAUGUAAAAUUUCUUGAAUAUUAGCUUUUAAUUGCAAAAUUAUGCGAAAGUUAAUUCAGCGCGUAAAAUGAUCUUUGUCGCAGCGUUUCCCUCUUGGCUCUCUCAGCACCGUCGUUUUUCCGGUUAGUUUACCGUGGAUGGACCAUAAAUUUACGCCCGAAGGAAACGACGAACAGUUUGUCCCGCCGCGAAACAGGCACGGACGGCGCCGAAGAAGACGGCGCGCUUUGAGCUCCUAAUCCGCCGGGGAGAUUGAAGAACUGCGAAAGAAAGAGUCACGAGAGAUAUAAAAGGGACCAAGGGUAGAUUCCGGAACAAAGGGCGGACGAGAUCGCGACGAGCGGAGAGAUUUGACGCGUCGAAUGAAAAAUGCGCGCGACAAGACAAAUGACGAAGGAAGAAGGAAGAGGGGGAUGCACAGAAAGCGUCAAAAAAAAUAAAAUAAAA
rnacentral:lncRNA from 1 species